rnacentral:lncRNA from 1 species
AAACCUUUAUUUGCUUCUAGUUGUCUAUUGGUUUGGGGACUCUUUCUUUUUUGUCUGUAGGUUUCGAUGUACCUUCCAUGUUGAGGAUCUUGAGACGCGGAACGUUACAGAAGCUCAGAGACUCAUUGCUGACCAGCUGUCUGGGAACCAUGUUGAUGAUAACAUCUUGGUACAACACGAAGACAUCCAUGUGUUACAUAUAGAUCCAGGGAAUUGUCCUGAGGAAACCCAUAAUAGUUUCUGGGGUCGGUAUAUUUGGCCAAUCACAGAAGCCCAGAAUAUACAAAAAAUGGACUGUGAGAAGAACCGUGGAGAGAAGGCUUGCAGAAAAUGCAUGUUGGAUCAACUGACAGGGAAGGCCACGUGGGCAAAGGCAAACCUGCAAUCAUGCAAGCCUGUGAUAACCAUCUCUGAUCUGGACCAUGUCACUGUCACAGAAAGUAAGACCCGCAUGCCGUCUAAAUGCACGCCACUUCAUAGCUAAGAAAAAAAUAUUUUGUCAUUUAUGGUCCCCCUUUUUUAAUGCCCUUUCCCUGGAUUUUCGGUAAUAAUUGUUUCAUAACAAUGGACAUUGGAUUUUUUUGGUCCCCAGACAACUCUGCAGAUGUGCUCGACAUAAUUGAGGUCCUUGUGCGUGACAAGGGGGUCCUGAGCGACUCCCAACUGGCCUCCGUCAUCCAAAAGCUGGAUGAGGUCCUCCAGGUCUGUGUCGUGACCCCUCAGCUUGGCAGAGAUAUCGUCAACAUCAUCGGUGACAUCCUGCGCUCUGACACUGAUCUUUCAGAGGUCACUAAUAACAUUCUGGACAUUACAGACCGUGUUGGGGACCAGAUGAAGUUCCAAGAGGAGUCUCUCAAUGUGACAGUCCCUUCCUUGUCCCUCUCUAUGGUCAACGUAGACAAAGACAACUUCCAGGGAUUUACAUUUGGUGUGUCCUCCUUUUCAACCGACCUAGUUCCAGAGAUUUUUGUCAACCAGACAUUUGUCAGUCAACCUCCUGAGAACACAGUCGUCUCCAUCUCCCUACCCAGCGCUCUUCAGAACUUCUUCCCCCCGGGACACAAAAAAAAUAGAAUUCAGUUCCACUUUUAUGGCACACAGGACCUCUUUGAGGUAUCUAGUAAAGCAUGCUUGAUGUGGUCAAGAUGUCAAUAUCUAGAAGUAUUAUUAUAUUUGCUUAUUUAUGAAUACAUACGGAAGUGUACUUGUGUCUGA